rnacentral:rRNA from 1 species
CUUGGUCAUUUAGAGGAAGUAAAAGUCGUAACAAGGUCUCCGUAGGUGAACCUGCGGAGGGAUCAUUACAAGACUGUGUGCGAGCCCCAAGUGGCGCGUACGUCCCAUUCUGUGUGAGCACAAAGCUUGCUUUGGCGCCUUUGGCGUCGGAUUUAUGCGGACAUGCCGUUGAAUCUGAAAGACCUAGAAAUUUAAAACUUUCAACAAAGGAUCUCUUGGCUCUUGCACCGAUGAAGAACGCAGCAAAGCGCGAAAUGUAGUGUGAAUUGCAGAACUUUGUGAAUCAUCGAAUCUUUGAACGCACAUUGCGCCCCUUGUUACAGAGGGGCAUGCCUGUCUGAGUGUCUUUUAAACCAUGGACUUUUGUCUGUUUUGGGCGUCGCGCCUCUGCGUCGCCUUGAAGCCAUUGCUGUCGAACGGACGAGAUCCUCUGGGACGACGCCGCUAGACUAGAGAAAAACUUCUCUGACGGACCUCAGAUCAGGUAGGACUACCGCCUGAACUUAAGCAUAUCAAUAAGGCGAGGAACAGAAACUAACAGGGAUUCCCCCAGUAGUGGCGAACGAAGAGGGAAAAGCUCAAGUUUGAAAUCUGGUUUACCAGAGUUGUAAGCUCAAGAUGCGUGGCCGACGUUGCCCUGGCCUAAUUUCCUUGGAACAGGAAGUCAUAGAGGGUGAGAACCCCGUUGAUGGUCGAGGGACCUUCAGUCUUUGCGCUGCGACGUCUAAGAGUCGGGUUGUUUGGGAAUGCAGCUCAAAAUGGGUGGUAAAUUUCAUCUAAGGCUAAAUACUGGCAAGAGACCGAUAGGAAACAAGUAGAGUAAUCGAAAGAUGAAAAGUACUUUGAAAAGAGAGUGAAACAGUACGUGAAAUUGUUGAAAGGGAACCGCUUGGUAUCAGCCCUUGGCUCUGGAUGAUCAUCCGCGCUUUUGCUCGGUGCACUUGUCCAGGGCUGGGCCAGCAUCGGCUUUGCUUGUCGUAGAAAGGUCUUGGGGAUGUGGCUCCUCGGAGCGUUAUAACCCUUGACGGCAUGCGACUGGUGGGGCCGAGGUCCGCGAUUUGUCUAGGAUGCUGGCGUAAUGGUUCCAAGCGACCCGUCUUGAAACACGGACC